CUACUACUCCCUCCGUCCGAAAAUACUUGUCAUUGAAAUCGAUGUAUCUAGAUGUAUUUUAGUUCUAGACACAUCCAUUUUGAUGACAAGUAAUUCCGGAUGGAGGGACUAAUAU
rnacentral:pre_miRNA from 1 species